rnacentral:rRNA from 1 species
AUGGCUCAGAUUGAACGCUGGCGGCAGGCCUAACACAUGCAAGUCGAACGGUAACAGGAAGAAGCUUGCUUCUUUGCUGACGAGUGGCGGACGGGUGAGUAAUGUCUGGGAAACUGCCUGAUGGAGGGGGAUAACUACUGGAAACGGUAGCUAAUACCGCAUAACGUCGCAAGACCAAAGAGGGGGACCUUCGGGCCUCUUGCCAUCGGAUGUGCCCAGAUGGGAUUAGCUUGUUGGUGGGGUAACGGCUCACCAAGGCGACGAUCCCUAGCUGGUCUGAGAGGAUGACCAGCCACACUGGAACUGAGACACGGUCCAGACUCCUACGGGAGGCACAGUGGGGAAUAUUGCACAAUGGGCGCAAGCCUGAUGCAGCCAUGCCGCGUGUAUGAAGAAGGCCUUCGGGUUGUAAAGUACUUUCAGCGGGGAGGAAGGGAGUAAAGUUAAUACCUUUGCUCAUUGACGUUACCCGCAGAAGAAGCACCGGCUAACUCCGUGCCAGCAGCCGCGGUAAUACGGAGGGUGCAAGCGUUAAUCGGAAUUACUGGGCGUAAAGCGCACCAGGCGGUUUGUUAAGUCAGAUGUGAAAUCCCCGGGCUCAACCUGGGAACUGCAUCUGAUACUGCAAGCUUGAGUCUCGUAGAGGGGGGUAGAAUUCCAGGUGUAGCGGUGAAAUGCGUAGAGAUCUGGAGGAAUACCCGGUGGCGAAGGCGGCCCCCUGGACGAAGACU